rnacentral:rRNA from 1 species
UACGUAGGGUGCAAGCGUUAAUCAGAAUUACUGGGCGUAAAGCGUGCGCAGGCGGCGCGUUAAGACAGGUGUGAAAGCCCCGAGCUUAACUUGGGAAUUGCGCUUGUGACUGGCGGGCUGGAGUGUGGCAGAGGGAGGUGGAAUUCCACGUGUAGCAGUGAAAUGCGUAGAGAUGUGGAGGAACACCGAUGGCGAAGGCAAUCCCCUGGACCUGUACUGACGCUCAUGCACGAAAGCGUGGGGAGCAAACAGG